GCUGGGAGGAGAUGCUGCCACCUAGGUUACUUGUAGGACCCUUUACGGCAACCUCCCUUGCCAGGAACUAUUUAGGAACAUUCUGGUAGCUGAGACCAAUGAUGCUGACCUCCCUCUAAAAGCUGCAUUUCUGAAUUUCUGAAGGCAAACUGUCUGCCUAUAUUGUACAGCAAAAUAAUUUCCUGUAUUAAAACGUUUUUUUGCUCUAAA
rnacentral:antisense_RNA from 1 species